rnacentral:lncRNA from 1 species
AAGCGUCUUACCAGCUCGGCUAUCCCUCGCACACAGUUAGUAAGGCUCUAGCGUAGUUAAGGCAAUUAUCUAUUAAAGUAAGUCACAGAAGUCAAGUUAGAUACAUAGGAGUCCUUUACUCACUCGUUGUCCUCCCACCUAGCUAACUCUACCAUUUACCUUUAGCAUAGGACCUUGGAUUCACCACUACCCUUCCUAUUCAUUAUUUACCACCCUUAUUCACUAGUUGAUACUAGACAACUCAAGGAAUCUCAUUCCCCUUUUUGUUAAACACACUUAGCCGCUUUCCCUUGGGAAAAUAUAAAUUAGGAUACCUUGGAAUACUCCUUGGUGAAGUGCUACAGCGGUACAUUCUGUGCGCUUGCGGAAUUAUCCAAUAGUAAAUAGAGUUACCCUACCAGGGCACUUCUGGCACCGUCGCCGAUAUCCGGUGGUUGCGUUAAGAAGUGUCAACAAGCAUUUCUGGCGCCGUUGCCGGGGAGAGCGUCUGUCUAAGAGUUUUAACAAAAAGAGAAUCCAGAGUUUGCUAGUUAUCAAGUAGUGAUAGGGAUAACCCAUCACUUGUCUUGUCUUCCUUUAUUGUGAAGCCUGACAGUGUAUGAGCGGUUUCCAAUUGCCGUCAAACUUCGUUGAAGAUCCUGAGCAACUGUUGAGGAGAACUAGACGUCGUCAAGUUCCACCUCAAAGGUUCAUCUCGAACCUGAAUCCGUUAGAGGAAGGAGUAUCUGCACCGGUUAUCAAAGAAGCUAUGGCCCAGAAGACCAUCUCUGAGUACUCUGCGCCGUCGGCUGACAAUGUCGCCACGGGUCCGCAGCUUAACUUGGGGGAUGCGACUUUUGAGUUGAAGCCUGCGCUUAUCAAUAUGGUGCAAGCUAAUCCCUUCUGUGGAAAGCCACACGAGGAUGCCAAUGCCCAUCUCCAACACUUCUUGGAGGUGUGCGGCACCUUCACCAUCAAGAAUGUCGCCGCAGACGCCAUCCGUCUUCGCCUCUUCCCAUUCUCGUUAUUGGGGAAGGCGAAGCAAUGGUUCUACGCCAACAAGGGUGAAGUGACCACGUGGGAGAGGUGCACCAAUGCAUUUCUCAAGAAGUUCUUUCCGAUGGGCAAGACCAGCGCCCUUCGUGGAAAGAUUUCCAGCUUCCAACAGCAAGCAGAUGAGACGAUUCCCGAAGCAUGGGAACGUCUGCAGGAGUACAUUCGCGCCUGUCCUCAUCAUGGGAUAGAGGAGUGGCUCCUAAUCCAAGGUUUCUACCAUGGCCUGACCGGUUUGGCCCGUAGUCACCUUGAUGCUGCCGCUGGAGGAGCAUUCUUGCAACACAAUGUCAAGGAUGCCAAGGACCUCAUUGAAAAGAUGGUUAUAAACCAAGGAUGGAAUGAGGAACGCCUCCAACCCAAGAGAAGAGGUGUCCAUGCCUUGAAUGAGGUGGACAUGCUCUCUACUAAGAUGGACCUCUUAAUGAAGAAGAUGGAAGAAAGUUCCAAGCAAGAGACCAUUCAACCUUACGCCACUGCACGGGCCAUUGAAUCUGAUUCAUGGUGCGAAGUGUGCGGAGGAGAUGAUCAUUCGGGAAACAAUUGUCCCGAAACAAAGGAGGAAGUGAGCUUCAUCAACAACAACAACAAUGGGUACCGGCCCCAACAACAGCAAUGGAACUCGCGCCCCUUCUACCAAGGUAAUCAAGGUAAUGGUUACAAUCAAAAUUUCAAUAAUUCUUUUGGUAACCAACCUUCUCUUAGAGAUCUUGUCUUAGGCCAAUCUAAAAUCAAUGAUAGCAUUAACAAGAAAAUGAUGGCUAAUGAUAAGAUCCUUGAAAACUUAAGUGAAAAGUUGGAUAGCUUUAACUCUGCUAUGAAAAAUCAGUUGAGCUUUAACAAAAUGCUAGAAACACAAUUAGCUCAAUUAGCAGCAGCUGUCCCAUCCUUCGAGCAAGGUAAGAUCCCAGGGAAACCUGAGGACCCAAUUGAAGGAGUUAAACUAGUUACUACGAGGUUCGGUAAGCCUCCGGUACAAUCCAACUGGAGCUAUCUUCUGGAUUCGCCCUUCAUCACCAAGAAGGACGACCCAGGCCUGCCGACCAUCACCUGUGAGAUCGGACCGCAAAUCUUCCACAACGCCUUCUGCGACCUUGGAUCGGGUGUCAACAUCAUGGCCAAGGUAACUUAUGAUAAUUUGCUAGGGGGGCCUUUGCACCCCACAUUUGUUCGUUUGCAGAUGGCAGAUCAGACGAUCAGGUUCCCUAAGGGGUUGGCAAGGGACAUACUGGUAAAAGUUCAAGACGACUACGUCCCUGCCGACUUCAUCAUUCUAGAUAUGGGAUCCAAUAAUGAUGUCUCAAUCAUCUUGGGAAGGCCAUUCCUCAACACGGUCAAUGCAGUCAUCUAUGUGGGGUCCGGCCAGAUUCACCUCCAAUUCCCAGGAUGGAAGGUAAAAUGUCCAUUCAAUGGUUAUAAAGCUAACAUGCAGGUGAAGGACAAAGAACCUCCGACUAAGCCUCGCCACAUCCGACGCCGAAGGGACAAGAGAGGUAAGUCGGCCAAAAGGGCCGAAAAGAAAGAAGAGGAACCCGCUGAACCAAAAAUCAAUACCAAGCAAGUAUGGCGGGAGAAAGAGGUGCAAUCAAGGUCCACGUCUCCGGGACCAUCUGAUGCACCCGAAGGAUGAACAAGAUGGAGAGGUCCUGCUCUACGGACCUAAAACAUGGAGCCCUUGCUGAUAAGGUAAAUCAGUAGUUAUCCCAUAUUUAUUUUCUGCAUUUCAAUUUCUACUAUUCACUUUUCAAUUGCAUUCUUACUUUGAAUUUUUCAUAUCUUAUUUCGACAAAAUGUUUAGCCAUAAUAAAUAAAAUCUUGAGAAUAACUUGUCAUAAAAAUUUGAGCUGCUGGAGCUCCCAAAGGGGGGUCGCCCGACCCCACCUUGGGGCCCACUUCACCACAUUUCAACCUUGCUAGUCAUAGAGGUUCCAACCCAGCACUUGGAUGCUCUGGGAGCUCCAAUGUGGGGGUCGGCCGACCCCCAUAUUGGCCCCACUUGCAUCCUGCUGGCCACCAUUUGAAUCACAAUGGAGUCCUAUGCUUGUAACACUAGCUAAAGUUUGAAAAAGAGUGGUCCCUUGAUCCUUUACUUUAGUCAUAAGAUGCUCUUUUCAUCUUUGAUUCUUUUGGGACCACUCCACUAGCUCAAAUUCUGCAAAGUGGUCACCUAGGCAUGCUUGAGUGCUCCCAUAGUCCAUAGGAAUCACUUUAGACAUGUCUCCACUUUUGCCAUUCAUCUUUUACCUUUCACAAAGCACUAAAACAGGGAAUCUCAGAAACAAUUUGAAAACUUUUGGUCCACACCUAGCCUUUACUUUUCCGGACAAUCAAUGACACAAUGUUUAAAGUGGAGGAGGGGCUAGGAUGGGGGUCGGCCGACCCCCAUUUUGGACCAUCUCUGCAAAAUCUUGAAAGCAUGCAGAAUGGUUCCCUGUAUAAAGCUAAACUCAAAUUCAAAGUGCUUCUAGGGGGGGUCGGCCGACCCCUAUAUUGUGGGUCCACUACUUGCCCUUCUCCCCCUAUAAAUACCACAGCAUUGUGAGCUCAACUCCACACCCAAAACCACCAGAACCAUUUCGAGCUCACAAUCCUUUCUCUUCUCUCUUUGUUACAAGCCAUUUCUCAAGUUUAGUUUAGAAAUAGUCAUCAAAACAAAAACCCAAAAAGAUUCCCCUUGCAUAGUAGUAGUAGUAGGAGCUUGGUUUGCCUCACUUGUGUAGGAGGAUGAAGAAGCAUAUCUUCGGCAAGUUCAAGAAAGCAAAGGGUGAGAGCUCUUCUCAAGGCUCUCACCAUGCUCAUGGAAGGGAGGAAGAAGAAGGUUACCAUGGGAUGGUACCCUACGAGCCUCCAUCAAGGAUGAGAGAGCCCGAGAGCGGCCUCAUGUUAAGCCAAGAAGAGUUGCAAAGGUACUACAUCAUCCGAGAGGGUCUCUUCCUACACACUAGCAUCAUCGAUCCGGACCUUUUGGCCCGCACAGGUAUGGAUGUUGAAUUCGAUAAGGUGUUUAGAGCAAUUGGUUGGAGUAGUUUUUUGGCAAGUGCCUGAAUUUGGAAAAGAAUUGCUUGCUAAGGAAUUUCUAUGCACCCUAAAACUCACAAAUAAUGGAAUAUCUUUUCGCAUGUGUGAGCAAGAACAUCAAUUAAAUUGGAGUUUGCUAAACACUGCUUUAGGGUGUGAACAUGAAUGUGAACUUGAUCUAGAUCAUGCCACUAGAAUGUUCGAUAAAUUUAGAUUCUGGAAAGCAAUUUCUGGCUCUAAUGAUUGUUCAAAUCCUACUCCCAUUGAAAUCCAUAAUCCAACCUUGCGCUUUCUUCACUUCUGGAUCAUGUGCACUCUAUAUCCUGGCAUGGGAACUGAUACUUUAAUUGAUGAUGAACUUAAAAUUCUCUAUGCCAUGGUUAGUAAAAUCAAGGUCUCCCCUGUGAAACUGCUAGUGAACUAUUGACUUAACUCUAUUGAGUAUGGGAAGCCCAUCUAUUUCACAUCCUUUAUUACUCGAAUAGCCGAUACUUUUGGAUUACUUGAAUCACAUUAUUUUGAAGACAUUGGCUAUGUUAGAGGAGUGGUAGAUGAGAACUUCUUUAUCAAUGCUAACAUGCUCAUAAGAGAUCCAAAUGGUGAACUUAAAAUGAUUUAUCCGGGCUAUACAACCGAAAUUCCUCUCCCAUGUGCGAGGCGCCGGUUGUAUGGGGUCCGCACACUUACCAUUAGACUAGCCCGAGUGGCAAGUCCAGAUGUUGCAGGGACACGCAGGGUGACAAGAAGGAUGAUGCAAGCCGCCCAGAUGGAGCAAGGAGGAUCCUCGCACCAUGAUGUUGAAGAGGGCGAUGAAGCGAUGUCAGUGGAUGCUUCAGACUCCAUGGGUCUACCUCCACAACGCACUCCACGCCCAAGGGACAGGGCUAGGCGUCACCAGCCCACAGGUAUGGACAGUCUCAUUAAUGACAUGGGCGAAUUGCAGAUUGGGCAAGAAGCAACAUUGCAACUGGCGUUACAAAACGGCCAACAUAUCCGACGUGUGCGAGAGGAAGACGCACAACGCUGGGCCGGAUGGUACCAGAAUUUCCCGCCACCACAGUGAGCGAAGAUCUAGCUUGGGGGAGAUCCUCUCCCCCACUAAGGUAAGUAUUCUAUCCUAUUUAUUUUCAUGCAUUUUAUCAUUCUUACUUAAAAAAAAUAUAAAAAAUAAAAUAAAUAAAUAUUUAUUAGCAUUUCCCUUUAGCAUAUAUGCUUCAUGUAUGUUUAUAUCCCUCAUGGAAAUUAUGACUAGUUGCUUGUUAAUGUUUCUCUAGUGCCUAGUAUACAACUUAGUAUUUCUCUAAGUAUGGAUCACUUAGCUCACUUAAACUGCCAUGAACCUAAAAACUUUGUGGGUUGCAAGUGCUAGAACUAAGUCUAAGUUGUUGUGGGACAUGAGAUAGUAAGACAAGAGCUACUAUAAUAUUUUUCUAAGCAUGCAUGAUUAUCAGAGAUUUAUUCUUAAAAUGAUCAAAACCUUAAUUGUUCCUCAAUGGUGAUGAAUUCCUACCACAGCCAUAUCUACUUUACAUAAUUACAGCCUUUCCACAUAAGCUAUUUGCUUUGGGUUGAGUGUCGUCAAGUCUUGUUGACCCUUGUUAAGAGACUUUUCAUGCUCCUAAGAUCAAGAUCACGUACACACCACAUAUAUAUAUGCUGCUUCUACACUGGAAGUACGCAACCACAUGUAUUUCGCAUCCACUAAAUAGGUUGCUCCAUACUCUAAAUGUUAGAACAUCUCUCUAAGCAUUAUUUGGUAAAUGAGACAUCAAAAGGCUAGGCAAAAUGAAAUAAAAAGAUGGACAUGUGCAAGUCCACAGAAAAAGAAAAUUGAGCACAUGAAAGCUCAUAUAUAAAAAAAAAGAAAAAAAUGCUAGCCAUGUCUCAAUACAUAGAGAGUCUAUCAAAUAAAGGAGCAACCUAGUCCACCAUAUAUCACACUUGCACAUCUUGAUCUGGGAGUAUGACACUUCUCUUCAAGGAUCCGAGCUUUGACUUCGCAAUACAUGCAAAGUAAGUAUGCUAUCUCCUUUCAUCCCUACCUUGAACUCCACAUAAGCCUUUUAGAAAUAGGAUGAAAUAGAGAAGGCAACUCUUACCAUAUGCCUUGGUGAGGAAUCAUACACCAUUUGAGUGACAUGAGAGAACCAUAAGAGGAACAUUUAAGCUUUCUUUUGAAAAUAUCACAAAACCUCUGAUAUGAAACUUGCUAAGAAUGAGAAAGUUAGUGCUCAAGUCAAACUGUUCUGUCUCUCAACCACCUAAGACAAAGGAAAAGCCAUAAGCCCCAUAAGGGACUAAGGUAAUAGGGGUAAGUUUACAUAGCUAAAUUUUUCAUGCAAAGAGAAGAACUUUGUUGUACACAUGGUACUCUUGAAAUGUGAACAUAGUAACAAUACCUGAUCCACCGAGGCUAAGUUUGAUUGUUUGCUCGGGACGAGCAAAGGUUAAGCUUGGGGGAUCUUGUUGACGGUGGAUAUACCAUAGAAAUCCACAUACAAAACACCGUCAACAUGCCUCGGUUGCAAGAGGAAACGACAUGACAUGAACAUAUUUUAUCCAUAACUAGUUCCACUUGUACUCUUAGCUUGUUUAUGCAGGAACAACAAAUUCAAGACAUUAUUUGACAAAGCCAACAUCAGAAUCAUCAAGAGGAGAUCGAGGGGACAACAGGUGACACCCUGGGCCCACAGGGAGGGGGUCGCCCGACCCCUCUUUGGUGGGACCCAGGUGUGCCACCUAGUCCACCGACAUAAGGGACCCCUGUGGACACUGCUGGUGGGCCCAGAGGCCCAGAAGUGGGGUCGCCCGACCCCACAUCAAAGGCGGUUCCAGGGUCGGUGGCCUCCCACCGACCUUCCCCACAUGUCCCACAUGUUGAUUUGCCCCUGCCGUUGAUCAAAUGGCGGUUGUGAGGUCGGUUUGAUCCAAGGGUGGAGAGAAGAUGUCACGCGGAUCGAUGACGUGGCGAUGGAGUAACCCCUACUCCAUCUCCCUCUAUAAAAGGCAGCCUCCAUCCUUCAUUUCAAGUGUGCAAUUCCAAGGCCAAGUGCAUUACAAGUUCCAAGCAUACAAGUAGAGUAGUAGUUAGUCUAGAGUGGGAGUUAGAGUCGAGUCGAGCGAAGCUCGGGGUCUCCGGAGUCGUCUUCUGGAGAGUCUGGUAUAGCUCUUGUACCUUUCUACUUUUGUAAGACUUUCCUUUUAUUAAUAUAUUAUUCUUACUUUACUUUACUGAGUUCUUACUUAGUGCAAGUCUUUUAGUCUUGUUGUGCAUUUACUUUAGUAAUAUAGUUGUCUUAGUGAAGUUAGUGACCUGUAACCACUCCUGUGUGUGCAUCAUCGUCCUAUCUUGUAUAGGAGCUCUAGCUAGCUGCAACUAGUUAGAGUUGUAGGAUUAAGUGUGAGCGUGGUGCUCAUACUUAAGAUUACCUUUGAUUACCGCUGGCUUGAACGGAAAGUAGGAGCGCACUCCCUAGUAGGUGACAGAUCGUGGGCGGCAUUAGGUUCUCCUCACGUACAGGCUAGUUCUUAAAAGGUAAGGCGUCCAUAAGCCCAAUAGUCGCUUUCGGUAAGGGGUUAGGUGAAAAACCUUCUAAGCGUCUUACCAGCUCGGCUAUCCCUCGCACACAGUUAGUAAGGCUCUAGCGUAGUUAAGGCAAUUAUCUAUUAAAGUAAGUCACAGAAGUCAAGUUAGAUACAUAGGAGUCCUUUACUCACUCGUUGUCCUCCCACCUAGCUAACUCUACCAUUUACCUUUAGCAUAGGACCUUGGAUUCACCACUACCCUUCCUAUUCAUUAUUUACCACCCUUAUUCACUAGUUGAUACUAGACAACUCAAGGAAUCUCAUUCCCCUUUUUGUUAAACACACUUAGCCGCUUUCCCUUGGGAAAAUAUAAAUUACGAUACCUUGGAAUACUCCUUGGUGAAGUGCUACAGCGGUACAUUCUGUGCGCUUGCGGAAUUAUCCAAUAGUAAAUAGAGUUACCCUACCAGGGCACUUCUGGCGCCGUCGCCGAUAUCCGGUGGUUGCGUUAAGAAGUGUCAAUAGUUAUUUGUCUUUAUCUUUAAAUUCGGUUUAGAUUUACUAUUAUCGUCAGUUCAUUACUAGUCAUUUGUAAUAAAUGUCUCAAGAUUAAUAAAGAGUAUUAUUAUUAUGUCUUGUAUGUCUCUACUUUAUUUUUGUGCAAGAAAGUAGAAAACAAGUAUGGGGGAGAUCCCUCGACAUGCCAAACACACUUCGACUACACCACUCCACGAUUCAGGUACAUACUCUGCACACUUCACUUUACACAUACAUAUAUCUUGGAUUAUGCAGAAUAUUGUCUCCGACAUGAUAAAUUAAAAAGAUUAAAAUGUUUCUAAUCAUGAUUAAUCUCACUCUGUGAUAUUUUCUGAAAACUUGCAACUAUUGAAAAUCAUUUUAAAACCCUGUGCUGCUUGAGUCACUGUGGAAUGUAAGAUGGUAGAGUAUGAGUACCUUAUUCUUUAUAUCAUUGUUGCUUGGAGAAUUUAUUCAAAAAUUCUAGCUACCAUCCUCAGUGUUUUAUAUGCCUGAUAAACUUGAAAAUAUUAAUUAUGAUAAUUAGGAAAGGCUAUCUACUCUGUAUUGAGUUUGUUCAAAAUGAGUUAGACCCUUGUUGAGAGAUUUAUCAUGCUCCUAAGAUCAAGACAUUUAUUCAGAAAGAUUCACUCUUCCAAAGUAUUAUUGCGUUAGAGGCAUGAGCUAUGCAAAAAUAAGGAUAUUUCGAGGAAAUAAAAAGGAGCAAGUGCUCGAUAACCUUGCAGAAAAAAUGGACAAGUGUCCGGCAGUAGAAUUAGGGGUACCUCGGUAUCCACCUGAAAAAAAAGAAAGAAAAAACAAAGAAGAAAAAUGAUAGCCCAUGGUCCCUCUAAUAAGCAAUAUGCCAGCAAGAGUUGACAAGUUUUAAAUUUCCAAAGUCUUUGAUCUAAGAGUAUGACAUUCCUCUCCUCUGAUCCCGUUUUGAUCAGGCAAUAAAUGCAAAGUAAGUAUGCUCAAGAAUUUUUGCAAAUUAAAACAGCCUCAGUGAGAUAUAAAAGUUAAAUGAGUGACCUGAAAGAACCUAUGAGGAUAAAGGUAGGCUAAAGUUCUUUUCAAAAAAUAUACAAAAACUCCAAGUGACAGGAUUGAGAAGAAAGGACCUCUACUCUUAACCAUAUAUUUCUCUGACCACGGUACACAGUGAAUUUUUACACCCUACAGUAUGAAGAAAAUGUUUUACAAUACUUUACCCCAGAUUUUUUUCUUAACCAUCCUUUUCUCGAGGAUGAGUAAAAGCCUAACUAUGGGGGUAUUUGUUGACGGUUCUUAAGUAUCAAUUUUAAUUAUCAAAUAAACAAGAGAAAGGACCAAUAUGCAAACAACACCUAGAAUUAGGGUUUGAUCUAAUAGAAUUCCACAAGUUUUGUUGUUUAUCUAUUUCUACAGGGGGUUAUCAGGAAAUAAGGAAGAAAGGCCCACAUGUCGGGAUUACAUAGAGAUAUUAACGCACCGCGCAAUUUUCUACCAUCUAGAACACUCCAGAAGCCACGGGAACGAACGGGAAGGCGAUCGGGCCCGGGGGCAGGGCGCCCGCCCUCCCCCUUGGGCGCCCGCCCUGACCUAGAGUCCAAUCAGGACUCUCUUUGGGGAUUACGCUCCACCGACCUAAAGGAUCAAGGAUAACCGUUCAAUCAAUGUCGGUUUGAUCCGACGGCCCACGUUCACCUGAGGGAACUAUAAAACCAGACCCCCUGGCCCCUGGAGGAGGCAAGUUCAUCAUAGAGUUGAGAGGUGCCCUCGAAGGAUAAUCUCUCCUCUAAAUAGACUUUUUGGCUUAGCAUCCAAUGUGAGUAGAAUUAGAUCUUCUAGUUUCUACUAGAUUGAGAGAGAUAGAGUGGAGGUGUAGAUCGGAGGAAGCCCGGCCUGUCGGUGUCUACUCCGAGGUUGUACCUGCGGGAUCAAGUCUUCUAAUCCGAGGCUUGCUCCUUGGAUUCUUCAGUAUUUUGACUUCUAAAUUCUAGUAAGUUCUUGCUUUAUUGUUCUUUGGUUUAUGAGUUUACUUUAAUCUCUUCGCGUAGAGUUUAGAGUAAUCAUCUGUAGCGUAGACGUGGUGUUUGGGCUAGAAUACUCAUAGAUAUCCCCUCACUAGCUGGACCGUGGUAGUAGCGAGGAACGUGAUAUUUCCGAGUUACCUUUGCAGCCCAUAUCCCGUUAGUAGGAUCGAUAGGGUUUAUAGGUGCGGAUCGAACAUCCUCUGUGGUGUCUAGAUUCCGUAAGCUUCCCCAACAGAACAGUAGAUCAUCCUUACCAAGGUUAGAAAGAGACUACGGUUGCAGUCUUCUCUAUAUAUCACUCACAUCGAGAAACAUUCUUUGUAGCCUAAAGGUUAGUAGUAAUAAACUGGGUUAGUCAGAUGCACUCUUUCUCCUAGUAGUAAAAAAUAAAUACGAUACUCUGGAUAACCUCCCGGGUGAAGUGCUCACCGAUAUCCGUGCGCUUGCAGAUCAAUUCCUUAUUGUGUUCCCAAAUAUCAACAAUCAUGUGUUAACUCAACUUAAAUAGGUGGCCUUUGUUAGCUCCUAUGGAGAUGUUGAGGAAGGGAAAAGGGGUGCCACACGCGCG